AAAAAAAAAAAAAAAAAACCCAGGAGGUCUAAUCAACUUUGAACAAAGAUUAUGUCAACUGAUACAAGAAAAAGAGAGUUGCUAUAUAAAAUAUCAUUCUCAGGCUUUCAUGGAUCCUUCAUUUUAUUACAGAAAAAUAUGGUAUUGAAGAACUAACCAUCAAGCAAGAGCGGGGAAUUCAACUCCCAAAAAUCUAAUUAUGAUAUCUCUCUCUCUCUCUCUUUCAAAAGAGAUGUACAUGAAUGAAAUCUUAAUAUGAUGUGUAGG
rnacentral:misc_RNA from 1 species